GUUCCAUAGAAACGAUGAUAUGUGUGUGAUCUGAAAUUUACGUUAAAACUAAUAAUGUGAUAAUAUAAUUUUCAGAUAAUAUAUUUUAUGACUGCAUUGAUCACUUUCUCUGAUACUUUAUCACGUCUUGAUAUCGGUUUAAAUUGUAUUAUCAAGAGUUAUAACUUGUGGUAUGCUUAAAAACCAACGGGUACAAUAAAAUUUAAACAAAUUUUGAAACAUGAAGUAAUUUAUUAUCCAGGUAAUAACGACAAAUGAUUAAUGAAACCUAAGUAAAGAUAAAAUAAACAAUACAUUUUCAACAUUUCGACCGUGCUUUUCCCACAAUUGCUAAUAUGCAUUUUCGUAUAAUCUGGUGUGAUUAAAAGCGCGUUAUAAACGAUCCUUAUUAUGUAUUUCCAAAUUUCAUAGGCAAUAAUGAAUUAAUCAAGUUUUAGCCACCUAAUAAAUUUAUUAAAUGUUUUUUAUGACUGGUAUAUAAAAUAUGGUCUAUGACUCUACGGUAAAUUUCGCCAACAUAGUUACUUAUCAGUUAUCCUGCUCAUAGAAUACAAAAAUGAUAUAGUAUAAAGGGAGUUCCAUUUCAAAUAAUACAACUUUUCUUUUAACACUUUUGGGGCCAUCUUUGCUAAAGUCUAAUGUCUUGACCACAAUAUUUAGAUCCGUUUAGCGUGAACAACCUUGUAUAAUAUGUGUAAACCUUCCUCUUCAUAACAUUCUGCAAAUUGACUUUAUUGGUGGUUAGGGAUUAACCGUUUAUUUACAUAAAGACUAACAGGCCAAAAACAUAAGAUUCGAUGUGUAUUAACGCAAGUAACAAUCUAUUUAUAGCCACAAUAACAAUCUGGCUUGUAAUGAUGCGAAUUUGCCAUACCCACAAACUUAUUUGAAUAAAACUCACAUUCAACAAGAGUUCGCUAUUUCUUAACGAUGAAAAACUGUGCAUCGUUAUUGGUCGUUUUUAUUUUGCUUUCGACUGAGUGCUCAGUGUACUCUAAAAAGCAAAAGGAAAAGAAACCGCCAUCAUCCCCAUGUGGCAUUUGCGGCGUUGACGUUUUCUGCAAGGAGGCAUUUCCCAUUUGUUCCCACGGGCAAAUAGUGGGACUCGAUUACUGCGGAUGUUGUCAAGUUUGCAAGAACGUGUUAAGAAAUGGCGAUCCUUGUCCCAAUGAUUUUGCCGUGUGUGCCCCUGGUUCGAACUGUAUUAACGGAAAGUGUGUAUAAAAUUCAAUAGAAUCAAAUGUAUAAGAU